rnacentral:rRNA from 1 species
GUGCCAGCCGCCGCGGUAAUACAGAGGUGGCAAGCGUUGUUCGGAAUUACUGGGCGUAAAGGGCGCGUAGGCGGUUCGGUAAGUCCUGUGUGAAAUCCCUCGGCUCAACUGAGGAACUGCACGGGAGACUGCCGGGCUUGAGUUCGGGAGAGGGAAGCGGAAUUCCGGGUGUAGCGGUGAAAUGCGUAGAUAUCCGGAGGAACACCGGUGGCGAAGGCGGCUUCCUGGACCGACACUGACGCUGAGGCGCGAAAGCUAGGGGAGCAAACGGGAUUAGAUACCCCCGUAGUCC